AUGUGUAAGUCAAUGAAUCAUUAAUAAAUGUAUUUUCUUCCUUGCAAAUCUUCUUUCCCACUUUUCCUGCUCUACUAUAUAUUCCAUCAAUAAAUACCUGCCACGUAUUUACCUAAUUAAUUAAAUAUUACUAUUAAUUAAUAACUGUAGUAUUAAUAAGUUAAUAAUGAUAGUAUUUAAUUAAUUAGGUGAACAUGUGACAUUUAUUUAUUAGUGUAGUAUAGAGUGAAUCAGGAAAAGUGGGACAAAAGAUUUAGACUCUAGUCCUUAGGCUACUCGUUACAUUACCCCCAUCAUGCCAACACACAUAUGUAUAUUUUAAAACAAAUAACAGUCAAUUUGUUGAAGUAAUAACUUAAUGGUUGCAACUCACCAAAUCAUUACAUUUGAUUUAUCAAAAAAGUUCAGAUCUUUACUGUUCAAUUAGUUGACACUUUUUUAGUUGUCCAUAACAUUAAGUGUUUAAAUAAUCAUUCCAGUAUAACUUUCGAAUUAUAAAGAAAGAAACUGAUUCAAAGUAAAAUAAAAAAAUUAUUACAUUAUAUAAAUAAAUAAAUAAAAUGAUGUUGGUUACAUUAUUGAUCAUUUGGGCCACUGUAUUUUAGCCUUAUAUAUGUACUUUUUGACCGCAAAAAUUAUUAUUAUUAUUAUUAUGGAUGACAACUAAAAUUAAUUGAAUUUGGUAAGAUUAGGACAGAUCAAACAGUUCCUAUCAAAAAAGGGGCCAAACGGCCAAGUUGUAAUCACUAAUCACGUACAAUGAUGAUGAUGAUGAAUAAGGAGGCUUCCUCCAAUAACUCGUUUUUAUAACUUUAUAUAAUGCAAAGUUCCAAUCAGCCAACCAAUAUGGCACAUGACCCUUCCCCACCCACCACCCCCACCCCCACCACCACCCCCCCACGCAUAUAUAUGGCACAUGACCNUUAAAGUUUAUCCAAAAAAAAAAAAAAAAAAAAAAAAAAAAAAAACAGAAAAACAAAAAGAUUGGCACAAAAAAAUUAUACUAAAGAAACUCAAGCUUAGCGUUGCUUGUGUGCGUGUGUGUGUGUAUAUAUAUAUAUAUAUAUAUUUUUUUUUUUUUCCCUCUUGUUCCAAGGCAGUUUCUAGUUAGUCGUUACAGUAUUUAGGCUUUUCACUUACAUUGCUCUCUAUGUGUGUCUAUGCCAUGUGAUUAAUUAAGAGCGGGGUGAUGAGCUUGUGGACUACAUCCCUGGAGUUUCUACUUUACGUAUUGCAGAUCUUCCCACCUUAACAUAUGGAGAUGGUCGACUAGUCUUGCCUGGAGUCCUGGAAUGUAUUUCAAUCGUGUCCAAGAAAGCGCAGUAUCUCCUAUUCACUACCUUUCACGAACUUGAAGCUGAAGUCAUUGACGCUUUAAAAGCCAACUUUCCUAUCCCUGUCUACCCUAUUGGUCCUGCCAUACCUUACUUAGAACUUGAAGAAAAGAGUGCUUCUGUAACUAAUGCUAACGAUGGUGUCAACUAUCUCCAGUGGCUUGAUUCUCAACCUCCAUGUUCGGUGUUGUACAUCUCAAUGGGAAGUUUCCUUUCGGUUUCAAAUGCUCAAAUGGAUGAAAUUAUUGGUGGUAUAAGGGACAGUGGUGUUCGGUGCUUGUGGGUGUCACGUGGAGAAAUUGGUCGGUUCAAGGAUUGCAGUGGUGAUAUGAGCCUAGUGGUGCCUUGGUGUGACCAAUUGAAGGUGUUGUGCCACACUUCAAUAGGAGGGUUUUGGACACAUUGUGGCUGGAAUUCCACUCUUGAGGCUGUUUUUGCUGGUGUACCAAUGCUUACUUUUCCUAUAUUUUGGGAUCAAGUCCCAAUCAGUAAACGCAUUGUGGAGGAUUGGAAGAUUGGAUGGAAGGUUAAGAAAGAUGUUGGAGUUGUGACCAGAGGUGAAAUUUCAGAGCUUGUGAAAAGUUUUAUGGAAAACAAAAGCGAUGAGAUGAAUGCGAUGAGGCAAAGAGCAAAAGAACUUCAGAAGUCAAGUCGACGAGCAAUUGCAAAAGGUGGGUCAUCUGAUGCAAAUCUUGAUACUUUUAUUAAAAAUAUUUCAGAAGGCCAUUGUCAUUAA
rnacentral:sRNA from 1 species